rnacentral:tmRNA from 1 species
GGGGCUGCAUUGAUUCGACAGAAUAUUGAUUUAGUUAGAGUGCAAGUAGUAGGCGUACUUAAAACGCAACAAUAAAAUAAUCGGAAACGAUUUUGAUUUUGUACCAGCUUUUGCCUAACAUAGGUUAACUGGUCUUCCACUGAAUCUUUUGUUCACGGGAUUUAGAUUGGGAGUCAUUUAGUGAACUAUAUUAAAAGUAUGCUUGUGACUUUUAACGAAUGAUUAAUAAGCUUUGAAUAAUAAGAGAAGUUGGCAAUCUACAUUAUUAUUUGAGUAUAAAAACCAACUAAACUUGUAGAUGCUCUAGUUAAAUGUAUUUUGGACAGGAGUUCGUUACUCCUCAGCUCCACCA